rnacentral:rRNA from 1 species
UACGUAGGGUGCAAGCGUUGUCCGGAAUUAUUGGGCGUAAAGAGCUCGUAGGCGGUUUGUCGCGUCUGCUGUGAAAACCCGAGGCUCAACCUCGGGCCUGCAGUGGGUACGGGCAGACUAGAGUGCGGUAGGGGAGAUUGGAAUUCCCGGUGUAGCGGUGAAAUGCGCAGAUAUCGGGAGGAACACCGGUGGCGAAGGCGGUUCUCUGGGCCUGUACUGACGCUGGAGGAGCGAAAGCGUGGGGAGCAAACAGG